CCGUCACCGAGUGGUCGGGUCCCGGCGCCACCUCGCGCCAGAACCUCAGGCCAGACCACCUGGGGCCGCGCCCAUUAGGGACCCGAGGCAGGGGGAAGUGGAGGGAGGGGACGGGGUGGGGGAUGAGAUGAGGACACAGGGUUUUGGCAUGGUAGCGGAAGCACCCACCCCCCACCUAGCAGCCCAGUUGCAGAAAAGAAAAAAAAAGAACUGGGAGAAGCGGGGGGCGGGGAGGGGGAGAGUGUAGACCCAUCCCCAAGAUAGUCACUCAGCGCCAGUCAAACAGAGACACCCAACUGUCCCCUGGGACGCAUCCACACGACAGUUUCCCAUUCACCGGCAACCCCGUAAACGCCACACACAAACACGGGCCACCCCACACACUCACCGAGGGACAUCACGGCCCCCGGGGACACACAACACAGCCACACAGCUUCACAGCACCAUUCCACAGGGACGCACAGCACAGUCGCCCAGUUACCCAAAGACACACUGUCCCAGAGCCGCACAAUGCUCUAGCACACGCAACACAACACACCCAGCCACGUGGAUGCGCAGACACACACAGACACAAAAAGGAGAGGACCCGACGCCUUUGGGACCCACAGACCCUCGGACUGGAACGGGACCACCCAGCCGCACAGACCCGCGAACGCAUCCCCGAUUCCCAUGCUGACCGUUUGGGAGCACUGGAGCACCCAAACGCACCCCUCGAGUGCGGAUGCCACCGACGCCAGCGGACCGGACACCGGAACCCUCAAGUGCAACCACCGACGCUCACGGGCCUGGGACGCGCGGCACCGAGACCUGAACUUUCUCAGCCAUCAGAUGUCCCUUCUGCAAAACAUCAUCACUACCCUUUGAAUUCUCCGGAGCUCUGGGAAGUUAGCAGCAGCAGGCUCCACACUGGCACCCGUUAGCCCUGUAGAUCCAGGGAGACAGAUCCAGCAGAUCCAGGGUGGCCUGAGACGGAUGGGAAGGGCAUCCCAGGCAGAGGGAACAGUCCAAGCAAAUGUCUGGAGCAGUGAAGCCUGCUGGUGGGAGAGGAGGCUGCAGCCGCUGCCGAGAGGCCCUUGAAGGCUGCAUCUGGUGUCCUUUGAGGAGGCCACCCCUUUUCUGCAAAAUGCGAGGAGGAUGCGGGUGGAAGAUGAACCUCUCCAUUUUCCCUCCCUGCCACCCCACCCCACCCCCAGCUGCCGAGCUCCAGGCCAGAAGUGAGCCCGCCUAGGCUUGGCUCCAAUACCUUCUUCCUGCCAACAGUUCUCUCUCUCCUUUUGAUUCUGUUGGAAAAAAAAAAAAAAAAACCUCCCCCCCCCCCUUCCACCACUGCUGGGAGGAAUUUGACAUGGCAGAGGGCCCAGGUCUCCGCCCUCCCCCACGCUGUCCUCUGCCAAGCACUACGUGGCCAAACUGGGGGACCUUGUGAGGGUGGCACCCCCAUCCUAAGCACAGAGGCACGGAGGAGCUCCUUGCCUCAGUUUCCCUUCUGGGAGGGCAGCAGGGCUGCUCCAGGGCUCAGUUCAGCACCCCACAUCCCUCCCAGCCUAAGACCAUCUGUUUGUUCCUCAUGGAAAACCUCAGCACUGGGGUUACAUUGGCAGAGAGAUUCUGGAGCUAACGGCCGGGCCCCUGGGCCUGAAAUGGAGGAGGAAAGAGCUGGCCUGGGCCUCAGUACGCUGUGAUGGUCCAAGCUGGGCUUCUGGGCUGGGUGGGAGGUGAAGACCCCUACACACAUCUGCAUACGAAGGAACCAGGCGAACACCUUCAGACGCAGGCCAGAACUAAGGCCCAGCCAACUGCUUAGCAAGGCCUGGCCAGGCCAUGGAAGCUUCCCAUAAACACAAACACAGCCACCAGCUCGUUUACUCUGCUUCUAAUUCAGAAAGCAAAUCUAGUGGCUAUCAGCACGAUGAGGAGGCUGAGGGCUGCUCGAUGUGAGUAUGGCUGAGAAAAAUAAAGUUAGGAAGAAAGGGGGAGAGGAAGUGAGGGUCAGGCUUGGAGGGGGGUGCAAUUUUAAGGAGCUGAGACCUGAACGAGGUGAAGGAGGACCCAGGUGGUUCUCUGGGGGGAGAGUGUUCCAGAGGGAACCAGCAUGUGCAAAAGCCUUGAGGCAGGACCAGGCCUGGCAUGUUGGAGGAAUAGGGAGGAGACCCAUGUGCCUGGAGCAGAGUGAGCAAGGAGGAGACAGGGAGGAGGUGAGGGCAGGCAGGGGACAGGGCAGGUUGUGCAGGGUCUCGUGGGCCUGGAGGAAGAUUUGGACUUUUACCCUGAGGCAGGUGGGAGCCCAGGAGGGCUGUGGGCAGAGGAGGGGUGGGACCUGACUCAGGUGCUCACAGGUGCCCUCUGGCCACUGUGGAGGGGACAGACUGUGGGGAACAGAAGCAUGAGCUGGGGGACCAGGACUGGGGGUACUGUCGGGUGAUAUGUCCAGGUUGGCGAUAAUAGGGCCUGGAUCAAAUGAAGGCUGUGCACCUACUAUGUGCCACCACAUCACUGGACCCUUUCUUUACCUUCACAUCAGCUUCAUUGUGUCAUCACUCCCCCCUUGAUGGAUGAGAUUAUAGCCCAGAGAGGAAAAGGAACUUGCCUCACAUCCUAUAAACUUUGCGCGGCACAUCACAUCUUCUCACUGUCUAAAGCCCUCCAGGGCUCCCCAUUGCCUUUGAUGUAAUCCACUCUCCUCCAUGCGUCACACAAGGACCUGGCGGGGAACCUGCCUGACCUGCCGUGUCCCCUCCCUGCCCUCACCUCCUCCCUCUCUCCCCCUCAGUCACUCUGCUGCAGCCACAUGGGCCUCUCCUCACUGCUCCUCUAAUGAACCAGGCAUGGUCCUGCCCCAGGGCUUUUGCACAGGCUGCACCGUUGCCUGAAUGCUCUCCCUCCAAUGUAGCUUUUCCUUAGCUCUGCCAUGUUCAUCUUCACAUCCUCAAUAAAUGUUUAGUGAAUGACUUA